rnacentral:rRNA from 1 species
AGCCGAGCGGUAGAGAUCUUUCGGGAUCUUGAGAGCGGCGUACGGGUGCCGAACACGUUGUGCAACCUGCCUUUAUCUGGGGGAUAGCCUUUCGAAAGGAAGAUUAAUACCCCAUAAUAUACUGGAUGGCAUCAUUCGGUAUUGAAAACUCCGGUGGAUAGAGAAGGGCACGCGCAAGAUUAGAUAGUUGGUGAGGUAACGGCUCACCAAGUCUGCGAUCUUUAGGGGGCCUGAGAGGGUGAUCCCCCACACUGGUACUGAGACACGGACCAGACUCCUACGGGAGGCAGCAGUGAGGAAUAUUGGACAAUGGGUGAGAGCCUGAUCCAGCCAUCCCGCGUGAAGGACGACGGCCCUAUGGGUUGUAAACUUCUUUUGUAUAGGGAUAAACCUACCCUCGUGAGGGUAGCUGAAGGUACUAUACGAAUAAGCACCGGCUAACUCCGUGCCAGCAGCCGCGGUAAUACGGAGGGUGCAAGCGUUAUCCGGAUUUAUUGGGUUUAAWGGGUCCGUAGGCGGAUCUGUAAGUCAGUGGUGAAAUCUCACAGCUUAACUGUGAAACAGCCAUUGAUACUGCAGGUCUUGAGUGUUGUUGAAGUAGCUGGAAUAAGUAGUGUAGCGGUGAAAUGCAUAGAUAUUACUUAGAACACCAAUUGCGAAGGCAGGUUACUAAGCAACAACUGACGYUGAUGGACGAAAGCGUGGGGAGCGAACAGGAUUAGACUACCYUGKUACGUCCACGCCGUAAAGGAUGCUAACUCGUUUYUGGAGCGCAAGYUUCAGAGACUAAGCGAAAGUGAUAAGUUAGCCACCUGGGGAGUACGAACGCAAGUUUGAAACUCAAAGGAAUUGACGGGGGCCCGCACAAGCGGUGGAUUAUGUGGUUUAAUUCGAUGAUACGCGAGGAACCUUACCAAGGCUUAAAUGGGAAAUGACAGGUUUAGAAAUAGACUUUUCUUCGGACAUUUUUCAAGGUGCUGCAUGGUUGUCGUCAGCUCGUGCCGUGAGGUGUUAGGUUAAGUCCUGCAACGAGCGCAACCCCUGUCACUAGUUGCCAUCAUUAAGUUGGGGACUCUAGUGAGACUGCCUACGCAAGUAGAGAGGAAGGUGGGGAUGACGUCAAAUCAUCACGGCCCUUACGCCUUGGGCCACACACGUAAUACAAUGGCCGGUACAGAGGGCAGCUACACUGCGAAGUGAUGCAAAUCUCGAAAGCCGGUCUCAGUUCGGAUUGGAGUCUGCAACUCGACUCUAUGAAGCUGGAAUCGCUAGUAAUCGCGCAUCAGCCAUGGCGCGGUGAAUACGUUCCCGGGCCUUGUACACACCGCCCGUCAAGCCAUGGAAGUCUGGGGUA